UACGUAGGGUGCGAGCGUUGUCCGGAAUUAUUGGGCGUAAAGGGCUCGUAGGCGGUCUGUCACGUCGGGAGUGAAAACUCAGGGCUUAACCCUGAGCCUGCUUCCGAUACGGGCAGACUAGAGGUAUGCAGGGGAGAACGGAAUUCCUGGUGUAGCGGUGAAAUGCGCAGAUAUCAGGAGGAACACCGGUGGCGAAGGCGGUUCUCUGGGCAUUACCUGACGCUGAGGAGCGAAAGCGUGGGUAGCAAACAGG
rnacentral:rRNA from 1 species